AAGUAGACGUUCUGGAAAGAGUGUCUUGUUAAUUUUAAAUCUUAUUUUGUUUU
rnacentral:tRNA from 1 species